CAAGUAUAAGGCCAAAUUAUCUGCGAGGAUAAGGCGGAAAGCUACAGAUCUCUUUGAGAUGGCUGAGUUGCAUAC
rnacentral:ncRNA from 1 species